GUUUCCGUGGUGUAGCGGUUAUCACAUCUGCCUAACACGCAGAAGGUCGGUCCCCAGUUCGAUCCUGGGCGGAAACA